rnacentral:rRNA from 1 species
GAUGAACGCUGACAGAAUGCUUAACACAUGCAAGUCUACUUGAACUUCGGUUUGGGUGGCGGACGAGUGAGUAACGCGUAAAGAACUUGCCUCACAGUUAGGGACAACAUUUGGAAACGAAUGCUAAUACCUGAUAUUAUGAUUUUAGGGCAUCCUAGGAUUAUGAAAGCUAUAUGUGCUGUGAGAGAGCUUUGCGUCCCAUUAGCUAGUUGGAGAGGUAACGGCUCACCAAGGCGAUGAUGGGUAGCCGGCCUGAGAGGGUGAACGGCCACAAGGGGACUGAGACACGGCCCUUACUCCUACGGGAGGCAGCAGUGGGGAAUAUUGGACAAUGGACCAAAAGUCUGAUCCAGCAAUUCUGUGUGCACGAUGACGUUUUUCGGAAUGUAAAGUGCUUUCAGUUGGGAAGAAAAAAAUGACGGUACCAACAGAAGAAGUGACGGCUAAAUACGUG